GUUUGAUUUCUCCUUUCAACUGCAAUGAGGUCACACUCCUGCAUUUGUGACAUAGCAGCAGGUUGCCAUGGAGAUGAUAGCUUUAUCAGCAACUCUGCUUUGCAAUGACUUCACAGCAAGGUUACCAAGAAGCAGAUGGGCUGUGAAGGAGA
ensembl:misc_RNA